GACGAACGCUGGCGGCGUGCUUAACACAUGCAAGUCGAACGGUAAGGCCCUUCGGGGUACACGAGUGGCGAACGGGUGAGUAACACGUGGGUGAUCUGCCCUGCACUUCGGGAUAAGCCUGGGAAACUGGGUCUAAUACCGGAUAGGACCCUGGGAUGCAUGUCCUGGGGUGGAAAGCUUUUGCGGUGUGGGAUGGGCCCGCGGCCUAUCAGCUUGUUGGUGGGGUGAUGGACUACCAAGGCGACGACGGGUAGCCGGCCUGAGAGGGUGACCGGCCAAACUGGGACGGAGAUACGGCCCAGACUCCUGCGGGAGGCAGCAGUGGGGAAUAUUGCACAAUGGGCGGAAGCCUGAUGCAGCGACGCCGCGUGAGGGAUGACGGCCUUCGGGUUGUAAACCUCUUUCAGCACCGACGAAGCGCAAGUGACGGUAGGUGCAGAAGAAGGACCGGCCAACUACGUGCCAGCCGCCGCGGUAA
rnacentral:rRNA from 1 species